rnacentral:rRNA from 1 species
UACGUAGGGGGCAAGCGUUGUCCGGAUUUAUUGGGCGUAAAGAGCGUGUAGGCGGCCAAACAGGUCCGUUGUGAAAACUCGAGGCUCAACCUCGAGCUGUCGGUGGAAACCGUGUGGCUAGAGUCCGGAAGAGGAGAGUGGAAUUCCCGGUGUAGCGGUGAAAUGCGCAGAUAUCGGGAAGAACACCCGUGGCGAAGGCGGCUCUCUGGGACGGUACUGACGCUGAGACGCGAAAGCGUGGGGAGCGAACAGG